rnacentral:piRNA from 1 species
UAAAUGUGCUUAUCCAAGUAGGACUCUUCCUU